rnacentral:lncRNA from 1 species
GUCAAUAACAACGGAUUCUUCAAAUUCUGAAGAUUGCACGGCCUAUGUGCCACACCAUUUGGAAGAAAAGCUAAACACAACUUGUUGUGUGUUAUCGCCUUUCGUACCUCUAUUGUGAGUAUUACUGCAUCUUAUUGUUGAGUAUUUUUGAGCUUACUAACUAAUGAUUCAUGUGCAACAACUUGUUUUUGCUAGAAACCCAACUUACGCACCAAGCGUGAUGAAUAUCGUUGAAUUGUGAUUUCCUUUUGUGAUCCUCAUUGACUGGUUAGUCCCUAUUUGAUGCAUUACCAAUUUACCAUUUGAAUGCUUUGAAGUUCUGCUAUGAAGCAAACAUGUACACCACACUUGACUUUGUAUUUUUGUUUAAAUUUGUGUAUUUAGAAAUUAGAAGGCAUGAUUAUAGAAGUUUCAAUCAAUUCUAUCUUUUGGUCCUUUUAUAUAUGUGGAUUCAUAUUUCAUAUUUUAGCUUUCCGUUGGUAUGUAGUUGGAUCGAUGCUUCGCCUCAUCCGUGCUCCUUGGAAACCUUGACUCUUCAAUAGAUUAGAUUCAUCUUAAUUUAAGAAAAGUGGUACUUUCUCUUUGCCUUACUGUCUUUUCUCAGCGGAUCAGCCACAUAGUCCGAAGUAAGGUUAGUGACGGGAACUUAGCUAUCUUUUGGUCAGGUUUUCCGGGGUUGGUUCCUCUACUAGAAUAGGUCCCGAACGCCUCACUUCUCUUACUUUCGGUGCUUAUCUUCAAUUAGAGAUGGUGACAUUGUAUAUUUGUUAGUCUUGUUUGAAAAUGUCUUGCCUUAUCCAUUAUAUGUUGGGAAAUUUGGAAACAAAAUUGUGAGUGGAAAUACGAAGAAAGAAAGAAGUUCAGUGUGCAUAUCAUGAUCAAGCAAGCAGAAAGAAACAUUUUGAGUGUCAUGUCUCAAGCCUUUCCUUCUAAUAACUGGACAUUACCAAAAAAAGAAAAAAAGAAGAUUGACGAAAAAAAAAGUAUCACACGCUUUUACCUGAAUAUCAAAUACUUGGACAACAUAUUGUAAAGUACCACUUAGCUAGCCAUAAAUAUUUAUUGCUUGUGUUUAGUAUCAUAUGCACCAGAAUGUGUCUGUAAUUUCUUAUCCAGGAUACAAAAUUAGUUUCCCCAAAGUAAGGAUGAGAGUAUAAAGAUUGAUUGUACUAUAUCCUGACUGCCUGUUCAAGUACUUUAAUCACUUUAGAUAUCAUGUUCAGUUUUUUAAAAAAAAUAUAGUGUAAUGUCUGAAAUUAUUCAUGUUCCAACUACAUGUUCAUAUGAAAAAUGGUGCUUAGGAUCAUAUCUAUACUUUAAUAUAUUAUUAUUAUUAUUUUUUAAUUGUUAUUGUAGCUGGUGGAGGAGUGAAGAAAUCAAAAUUGCUAGAUACAUGAACAAUUUUUUUCUCUUGUAAAAGUAUAUUGAUAUGUUUGAAUAAAAUAAUGUUUCACUAUUUUGAAUAAUAUUAUUGAACAUUUAUUAAAUUAUUUCUCUAAUAUUACAUUUAUUACACAAUUUAAGAUGCUUUGCUACAAUUGUCUAUACAUAUCAUGCCAAAAAUAAAUUGUCAGCUACAUUAUAUGAAUUAUUGUGGCUAGUAAUGUUUGUGACAAAUUAUUUUUAAUUAGUAGUUGUAAUUCUUUUUUAAGUUUGUAGCUAAACAUACAUAUAUUUGCCACACAAAUGUUAGUAUGUAUCCACCUAAUUGCUCGGACUCGGGUGCGGGUGUCCGAUACGGGUGUGAAUCUAGAGUUCGGAUCCAUCAUGAUCUAAUUUUUAAGAUUCGGGGAUAUGGAUCCAUGUAUGGAUACGGGUACGGGGAUUUGCCUAAAAAUAAUUAAAAUAUCUAAAAAUAGAAUUAUAAAACUUAUAUUAUGAGAUAAGUAUUAUGUAGAAAACUUGAGGAGAAUCCUGGAAGGAGAUUAAAGGAAACAGAGUGACAUGGAAAUAUUUAUAUCAAAGGUAUUUCAUUUUCUUCAAUUUCACCUUAACUUUUGUAUUGGUUAUAGAAAUCAUUAAAACUAUCUCGACUUUCCCCAUCGAUUUUGGUCAAAGUACCCAAAAUUGGUUGACCAAAUCAGACAUGGAUCCCACACCCACACCCACACCCAUGUCGUGUCGACACGGGUGCGGCACAAAAAGUGAAGAGUCCGAGCAACUUAGGUAGGAAGCAACUUUGAUACAGGAUAAUGUUAUGAAAAGGGGGAUAACCUUAUGUUCUAGGUGCUUUCUAUGUGGAGAAACAUCAGAAAUUGUUAACCAUCUUUUACUACACUGCAAAUUUACUCAACAGUUAUGGAGGGUAUUCUUGAGUCUCAAAGGACAUAUCUUGGGCUAUGCCUAGGAGAAUUACUGAAGCCCUAAAAUGUUGGGAGGAGGCAGGUGUGUUAGCUAAAGACAGAACUAGAUGGAGAAUUAUCCCUGCUUCAAUAUGGUGGGCAACCUGGAAAGAGAGAAAUUCUAGGUGUUUUGAUUACCAACUUGAAUUAUACAUCAAGCUUAUACUUCAUGCUCUCUACACCAGUAAUAAUGAAUGAAUUUGAGGACUUGCACAGUUUUUUCAUUGCUGAGCUUUAUUACUAUUGCUUUUUGCAUGUCUUUGAAAAUUAAAGUAUCUGCAAAAUUCUCUUGUUUUGUGGAAUAUCAUAUUAUCUAAUGCAUUAGUAGAUAAAAUUCUACAUAGGCCAACUACACAUGUGAUCCCUGAGUUUGUCCGACUUUUAAAAAAAUAAAUUUACAAAUUGCACUACUGGGUUUAUGUGUGCUGAUCUUAUAAAUUUACAUUAACAUCUUUACUAUUUUUCUUGUCAUAUUAUAACUAUUUUGGUACAGUGUAACAAUGCGGAAGCCAAGGCACACUUCAUCCUCAAAAAAAGGCGUGGAA